GACCUCCAGCCUCUGUUCCACCAGCCACAACUACAGCUUUGAUUGGAGAAGAGACUGAUUUCAGCCACUUUCUCCUGGUAUAAAAGCCUGCCGUUGGUGGAAAAGGAAAAGGUGGUCCAGUUAGACAAGAUGCCACCGGCUUCUGAAACCAGACAUCUUUGAAAACCCACCCAUCUACCUGCAGGAAAAGGGUCUUGUUCUGUCGCCCAGGCUGGUUUGCAGUGGUGCCACCAUGGUUCACUGUAACCUUGAAGCCCCUGGGCUCAAGUGAUCCUCCUGCCUCAGCCUCCAGAGUAACGAGGACUACAGAUGGAGUCUUGCUGUGUCGUCCAGGCUGGAGUGCAGUGGUGCUAUCUUGGCUCACUGCAACCUCUGCUUCCCAGGUUCAAGUGAUUCUCCUACCUCAGCCUCCCGAGUAGCUGAGACUACAGAGACAGGGUUUCACUAUGUUGGCCAGGAUGUUCAACAACUUCUGCCUUCAAGCGAUCUUCCCUCCUGGGCCUCCCCAAGUGCUGAGUUUACAAGCAUCAGCCACCACACCCAGCCUAUGACAUUUUCUUCAUUAUGGCUGGUACUGCCUCAUGAAAAGGGGGUUCCUCAUGCUGGAUCUGAACAACCCAGCACAGGCAAGUCUGGGGAGCAAGGCAGGAGCCUGCAUGUGGACUCAAAGGACCGGCACCCGAAACAAAGCAGUGGCUGGCACAGGUGGACAAACCAGGCAAGAAAAGCAACUGUCCUUCGGAGCAGAGUCCACGUGAUGGGAAGAAACAGACACAGUCUCACUCUGUUGCCCAGGCUGAAGUCAACGGCAUGAUCUCAGCUCACUGCAACCUCCACCUCCUGGGUUCAAGCAAUUCUCGUGCCUCAGCCUCCCAAGUAGCUUGGAUUACAG
ensembl:lncRNA LINC01531 long intergenic non-protein coding RNA 1531